AUGGAGAUCUUGUCUUGGCGCUAUUUCCGAAUGGUGCUACAGACAUUAUCUUGUAUAAAUGGCAUUUUUAGUCAUCAAAAACAAAACGAGAAGCGCGGUAAACAAAUCUUAAAUCAUAAAACUAACUUCAAUUAGUUUUCUGAGCAAAUUAAAUACCCUCACGCACCGGCCAUUAAAAUUGAAAUCAAGUCUCUUGGCCAGCAACACGAAAAAGUCAACCGCAAAUCGGUUAAUAAAAAGUGUUCGCCGAAGAACAGAAAACCGAGAAGAAGAUGUCGCCACUGAAUAUUUAUAAGAAGGCCGAUGACUCUCUACCCACCCAGCAGAAGAUUCACGCAUCUUUGAAUGGAUAAAGAAGCGUCUCAGAGUGCGUGGAUAUUCAAAUUUCGCGGAUCUUGUCUUGGAGGGAAUCAUAUAAAUUUCCGAGUCAAAUGUCACGUCACCUGCGUCAGCGGUUGGAGGAGAACGGAGCACCGAAAGAUUGUUAAUUGUGCUUAUGAUUUAUGCAAAUUUGUCCCAAUACAUAACGCGAAUCUCUGGUAACUUCUACAUGGCUUCACUCAAGGCGGACUAUAUUGUUUUCUGCUUAAGAUUUAUACUUAUGUAAAUCCGCCAGCUAAAUAGACGCCCAACCCGACUAACUAGUUUGCCACAUUGUUUCGCUUUUUUUUUUUGUGCUCAGUUUGAAAUUUGGAUUCGAGUUCUAGUCGAGGAAGUGGAAUUACCAAAGGUUUUAUAAAAGGUUCGAGCUGGAUUUUACAACAAAGCAACUUUGAAAUGGAAAGUUCUUAGUAGGAAAUAUUUUGUACAAUUUUUGGAAGUUUCUGAAACCCAGGACCAACAUAAUUUUAACAUAUAACUGAGUCCUGCAAAUCCUCCUAUAAUAACACUCUUAAGUAUAUACAUCGAAAAAUACGAUAAUUAAGUAUUAAACUGAACUAUAUUCGGGUUAUUUCGCCCUUGAAUAAAAGCCAUAUUUCAUUCAUUGACUCAAUUAAUCAGGCUGACAAAAUGUAUUCGAAUAUCGAUUAAGUCUUUUAGCCAUAUCUAGAUGUGCUGAAUGCAAAUAAAUAAAGGCUGACUUAUCUACUGAUCUGUGAAACAUUCACCUUAAAUUGAUUUAGAUCGGCCAGAAAGACCUAAUUAAUUCUUUCAACAAGUUGUCGCUCGCCUUUGUUUAAACAAUAAAAAGUACAGUUAGAAGAAUUCAAAACAGAAAUCCCGACCGUAAAUUUAUGAAUAUGAUUUGGCAAAAUGUAAAAUGUUUGCGAUACGAGUGAAUAAUUGUUAGCAAUCGCAUAAACAACUUGCUAACGGCAUUUAGUUAAUGGAUAUUUCAAGUCUGCGAAUUCGACGAAUAAAUGACGUUUGAUAUUCAUUUAAAAUCUGUGAAAUUUA